GGAUACAGCCCAUGCCGCAGCAAUAUCGACAGAGAUUUCGGCAGCAACUGGAACCGCCAUUUUCAUCUUCGAGGGCAGCGUAUUGAUAGCCAGUUCCAGAGUAAAGAUUUUCGGCUGUGGCACGAAUGUGUUGCCGGACAUAAAGAUGACGAAAACUGGUGGCUCUCGCUGUUGAAUGCAAUAACGUUGAAUGAGUCGUCGGAGCUUAGCUUUGCAAGAGCAGCUAAGAUGGCGUUUUUCGUAUCGUCAAGAACUUUACCCUUCAUGCUACCACUUAUGUCCACGACAAACACCACUUCCCUUGUGAAAACCUGUCGAAAACAGCAUCCGAAGCAUGAAAAGUUAUUCGGAAUUUUUUAAAUGAAAUUCAGGGUAAAGAUAACAGCAGAACAUCCUUUGACCGUCGACGUCUGGCGACGAGCCCAACAGCACGGUGCCGAAAGUAUUGCUCGAAGAUACCUGCCGAAGAACGAACAAAUAAUUUCUCAACGCGAAUUCCGGAUGAUCGGAAAUUCGGACGGGAUUCUUACUUACGGUGUAAGAGAAAACCAAGUCGUCUUUCGACCACGAAAGCACGUCCGCCUCGUACAAAUAGGUCCUCUUCCCCAACGAGUCGUGAUGCUUCUCCUACAAUGUUUUCGGAAAUUCACGGCUGUUAGAAGGGAGAUUGUCGUUCCAAAACAAACAUGCGAUGCAUGGGGGGCAGUCAACGGCACCUUCAUGGGAUGACUGGAUGUGACGCAGAGGAUGUCCGUGCCGGGACAGGGGGUAACGCCGAUUUGUAUCUUCUCAUGUUUGGAAAUCUUCUUGACUGCAGGUGUGACGUACUCCGGGAAGGCGAAGGGGAUCUGCAACGUGAACUGGCCGUUUCCGUGGUGAACUAAUCGCUGCGACCACCGGAGCUUGACGGAGAGAUUUGUGCCGCCGUCGAUCUGACAAAAUGCAGCACAGCCAUCAAAACACUAGGCAAGGUAACCGUACCUGUUCGCCGACGGGGAGCGCGAGGAGGCAAUCACACGCGCGGCUUCCCAUGACGCAGUGCACGCGCCACGACGCCGCGACGGCGACGACCGCCGUGUCGGCGGCGG